rnacentral:tRNA from 1 species
AUGAGCUUAGUUUAACGGUAUUAAAACGAUGGUCUCCAAAACCAUUGAUAAGGGUUCAAUUCCUUUAGCUCAUG